rnacentral:tRNA from 1 species
GGGCCCGUAGCUCAGCGGUAGAGCAGCGGACUCAUAAUCCGUCGGUCGAAGGUUCGACUCCUUCCGGGCCCA